UACAGAGGGGGCAAGCGUUAUUCGGAAUUAUUGGGCGUAAAGGGUCCUGAGGUGGCUAGCCAAGUCUAUUGUGAAAUAUCAGGGCUUAACCCUGAACAUGCGGUGGAAACUAGAAAGCUUGAGUACAGUAGGGGCGGAGGGAAUUUCCGGUGGAGCGGUGAAAUGCAUAGAUAUCGGGAGGAACAUCAGUGGCGAAGGCGGCUAUCUGGACCAACACUGACACUGAGGCACAAAAGCGUGGGGAGCAAACAGG
rnacentral:rRNA from 1 species